GGUAUUUUCUUAACUCAGUGUUGGGUCAAUAAUCCCGCCGCACCUCGUGGGGAUUUGAGGUGACUUAUUUUUCAAUGGACUGAACAGGCAGAGGGACAAGACGUCGUCACCAAAAACAGAGAUUCAAUGGAUAUUUUGGUGGAGGAAACACUCAAAGAUUGGAAUAUGGAGUCUCGCAUCACUAAAUUUGAAGAUAUGAAAUGUGACUUGCCCUGAUAGUGCUGCCUCUACUUCAACUGGGAUUUUCCCACACAACAAUCUCUAGGGAUUACACAGAAUGGUCAGAAAAAGAGAAAAUAUCCAGUGAGUGGAAGAUCUCUGUGUAGAAAUGUCUUGUUGAUGGCAGAGGUCAUAGGAGAAUGGCCAGACUGGUUUGAGCUGAUAGAAAGGCAACAGUAACUCAAAUAACCACUUGUUACAACCAAGGUAUGCAGAAGAGCAUCUCUGAAGGCACAACAUACCGAGCCUUGAAGCAGAUGGGCAACAGCAGCAGAAGACCACAAGAAAAAGAAAGUCGUAUACAAUGUACUUCUGUUCAAUUGCUAGCUUUUAGUUGGAAAUUCCUACUUUUAUUUCUGAUUGCUUAGGAAUUGCUAUUAUUCAAGCUGUGAAAUGGCAAGAGAUAAUGUUGUUGUGCGUCUGUGUCUGUGUGUGUGUGUCUGUGUGUGGUCAUGUUCCAAUGUUAGUAACUAUUGAAGCCUCAGGUUGACCUUGCAUACAAUUAUCCAUACAUUUAUUUAGAAAUUACUCAUUGUUUUUUUAAGGGAUAGG